UACGGAGGGAGCUAGCGUUGUUCGGAAUUACUGGGCGUGAAGCGCGCGUAGGCGGCUUUGUAAGUUAGAGGUGAAAGCCCGGGGCUCAACCCCGGAAUUGCCUUUAAGACUGCAUCGCUUGAAUCCGGGAGAGGUGAGUGGAAUUCCGAGUGUAGAGGUGAAAUUCGUAGAUAUUCGGAAGAACACCAGUGGCGAAGGCGGCUCACUGGACCGGCAUUGACGCUGAGGUGCGAAAGCGUGGGGAGCAAACAGG
rnacentral:rRNA from 1 species